GGAAGGAGCAGGAAGAAGCACUGGAGAGAGUUAAGAGGCAAACUUAUUCCACCUUUGAAGCAACACAGGACUGCUUACUGAAAAAGAAGAAAACAGGGCUGGUAUGAAGAAGUGACCCGGAUCACUACAACAACCUGUGAAGUACUGAGCAGUUUGAAAAAAAAAAAUCUCCAUUGUUCAAAUGAGAAAACUGAGAUUCAGGCAUGAAUAUCUUAAGCAACCAACACGUAGGCAUCCAGAGCCGAAAUCUGGUUCCUGAAUUAAGCACAACCAGAAUGCAUCAGUGAUUGAAAUGAAGCUUUACAGCCCCAGUGGCUUGAAGAAGAAAGCGAAGCAGAUGAUACAAAAAACGGGAAACCUUCCAGUGGAGAUAUACUGCUUAGCUAAUAAAAUGAGUCACGGAUCAUUUUUGUGUCUUCAAUUUACCCUACAGUAUCAAUUUUUGAAUGGUUACAUAGAGAUAACCAUCUUA